GAUGAACGUUGGCGGUGUGCCUAAUACAUGCAAGUCGAACGGAGUUAGUAGCAAUACUGGCUCAGUGGCGAACGGGUGAGUAACGCGUUGGUGAUCUGCCUUGAAGUGUGGAAUAACGUUUCGAAAGGAACGCUAAUACCGCAUGUGCUCUCGAUUUUCAGAAAGUUGAGAGUAAAGGAUUUAUUCGCUUCAAGAGGAGCCUGCGUCCCAUCAGCUGGUUGGUAGGGUAACGGCCUACCAAGGCUAUGACGGGUAGGGGACCUGAGAGGGUGGCCCCCCACAAUGGAACUGAAACACGGUCCAUACACCUACGGGUGGCAGCAGUAGGGAAUAUUAGAAAUGGACGAAAGUCUGAUCUAGCAACACCGCGUGUGCGAAGAAGGCCUUCGGGUCGUAAAGCACUUUUUGGAAGGAAUAGGAAGGAAUGUACUUCCAGAAUAAGUCUCGGCUAACUACGUG
rnacentral:rRNA from 1 species